rnacentral:misc_RNA from 1 species
UUGUUUGUUACCGGUGGAUGGCUCUCUGCUUUUGCAACAACUUCCACCGGCAUUCCUCUUCGGUUUUGCGCAAGGUUGUGUUUCCUUGAGCGCUUAAGGUUUACUGUGUGCCUAUCUGUGACGGUAUCUGUGAAUAAAACAAAUUCGUGUUUUAUCACGCGUCAUUUAAGUGGCGUGGGAUAAUCCUCAAAGCAAAUUCGAUAGCCACCUUGUUGAUGCACAUGCAUCGAUGUUGUGGCUCGUUGAGUUUUGCCUGGUUUUUUGGAUAUAGAACAUGAUAUGGGUGUAGGUCUUUGCGACCUUUUUUGCCCUGUUGAACGUUGAUAUUACUUUGAGAUAACUGCCUAUCCCGAAUUGGCUCGUACCACCGGGGUAAGGUUAUGUUGUUGAAGAGCAAUACUAGCGUUCUUGCUUCUCUAAAACAGACGGCCUCGCCUGUAUUGGCUUUGUACCAGCGGGUGGGCUAUGUCGAAAAUGGAUGCUACCUGGUU